rnacentral:rRNA from 1 species
UACGUAGGGGGCUAGCGUUGUCCGGAAUCAUUGGGCGUAAAGAGCGUGUAGGCGGCCCGGUAAGUCCGCUGUAAAAGUCAAAGGCUCAACCUUUGAAUGUCAGUGGAUACUGCCGGGCUAGAGUCCGGAAGAGGCGAGUGGAACUCCUGGUGUAGCGGUGGAAUGCGCAGAUAUCAGGAGGAACACCAAUGGCGAAGGCAGCACUCUGGGACGUGACUGACGCUGAGACGCGAAAGCGUGGGGAGCAAACAGG